rnacentral:rRNA from 1 species
GACGAACGCUGGCGGCGUGCUUAACACAUGCAAGUCGAACGGAAAGGCCUCGCCUUUGUGGGGUGCUCGAGUGGCGAACGGGUGAGUAACACGUGAGUUACCUGCCUUUCACUCUGGGAUAACUUUAGGAAACUGGGGCUAAUACCGGAUAUGAGCUCCUGCUGCUUGGUGGGUGUUGGAUAGUUUCGGCGGCUGGGGAUGGACUCGCGGCCUAUCGGCUUGUUGGUGGGGUAGUGGUUCACCAAGGUUUUGACGGGUAGCCGGCCUGAGAGGGUCAGCGGCCACAUUGGGACGGAGAUACGGCCAAGACUCCUACGGGAGGCAGCAGUGGGGAAUAUUGCACAAUGGGCGGAGGCCUGAUGCAGCAACGCCGCGUGGGGGAUGACGGCCUUCGGGUUGUAAACCGCUUUCGCCUGUGACGAGGCGUGAGUGACGGUAAUGGGUAAAGAAGCACCGGCUAACUACGUG